CUUGCUUUGUGGAGGGAUUUUGGAGGGUUUUACAGGAGUUUUAAGACUCUUAAUGUUUUUUUUUAAAUUUAUUUUUCUAGGUGUUAUAUCAUGGAAUCGCCAUCCGUGGGUUCCCCAUGGCCCCUCCCCAGUGGGAGAAGCUGCAGCCCAGGGUGAUCUUCGGGCCACCAUGAAGUGACCGCAGUGCCCCCAACUCAGUGCGAGAUGCCUCACCCUGAGGUGACCCCUGGACCGCAGUGCCCCCAGCUCAGGUCAGAGCCCCCCUGAAACGCCCAAAUCCCCCCCCAGCCCCCCCAUUCCGAAGCGAUGACACCCCCUGAGCUGGAGGAUGAAUCCGAUGGCAGCAGAGUUACCAAAGCCCUGAUCGGAUUUGGGGAGGGGGCUGCACCCCCCUGCCGGGGACUG